AAUAGAGUUUGGAUCUGGCUCAGGAUGAACGCUGGCGGCGUGCCUAAUACAUGCAAGUCGAGCGAACAGACAAGGAGCUUGCUCCUUUGACGUUAGCGGCGGACGGGUGAGUAACACGUGGGUAACCUACCUAUAAGACUGGGAUAACUUCGGGAAACCGGAGCUAAUACCGGAUAAUAUUUCGAACCGCAUGGUUCGAUAGUGAAAGAUGGUUUUGCUAUCACUUAUAGAUGGACCCGCGCCGUAUUAGCUAGUUGGUAAGGUAACGGCUUACCAAGGCGACGAUACGUAGCCGACCUGAGAGGGUGAUCGGCCACACUGGAACUGAGACACGGUCCAGACUCCUACGGGAGGCAGCAGUAGGGAAUCUUCCGCAAUGGGCGAAAGCCUGACGGAGCAACGCCGCGUGAGUGAUGAAGGUCUUCGGAUCGUAAAACUCUGUUAUUAGGGAAGAACAUACGUGUAAGUAACUAUGCACGUCUUGACGGUACCUAAUCAGAAAGCCACGGCUAACUACGUGCCAGCAGCCGCGGUAAUACGUAGGUGGCAAGCGUUAUCCGGAAUUAUUGGGCGUAAAGCGCGCGUAGGCGGUUUUUUAAGUCUGAUGUGAAAGCCCACGGCUCAACCGUGGAGGGUCAUUGGAAACUGGAAAACUUGAGUGCAGAAGAGGAAAGUGGAAUUCCAUGUGUAGCGGUGAAAUGCGCA
rnacentral:rRNA from 1 species